rnacentral:lncRNA from 13 species
UAAAAUCAAAGCAACAGUCAUGAGCCAUUGGAGGGCAUAGCACAAGUCAUGGUUAAAAGUUUAUUUCAUUCUGAUUGCCUUGUAGUAAUUCUAUUGAAAUGCACUAAGACUGGUUGCUAAAAGACCAAUAAAAAAUUAAGGAAUUGGUGCAGUUAUAGAAAAUUCCUGUGUGGUGAUGGUGUCAACUAAGAGGGAGAAAACUACAGAGGAGAAGCAAAUUUAAAGAAAACGAAGAAUUCAGUUUGGGGAUCUGGACAUACUGGAAUGAACCAGACAACACGGCCCUUGUCCCAGGAGAAUUUACAUUGCAAUGGAAAAGGAGUCCGAAAGAAUCAUGGUCAGGACAGUAUUAUUUAUAUUGUUCUCUUGUGACAAGGAAAACAGAAGUGCUGUCAUGCUACACAAGAAGGGAGUGGUGAUCGAGAUCAAUAAGCAUGAAAUGUCUUACAACAGGAAUCAAGGGACCCAGUCUCCUGUCUAAUAGAACGGGAAGUAUAUUACAUGCUUCCCCUACCUUGAUUUCUUUCUUUUUACAUUCCAGAGCUACUGCCUCCACAUGAGGGUUUUUAUAAUUAAUAUGCUCAGUUAUUAACACUAACAUUCUAAAACUCAAAAGUAUGAUCCUUAUACGACAUACGCCUUUGUAUUCAUAUUAAAAAAUGCUGUAAGU